UAUAUCAGGUAUAACUCCCAAUGCAAUCCCUCCCCCCUACCCCCUCCCCAUGAUAGGCCCCGAUGUGUGAUGUUCCCCUUCCCGAGUCCAAGUGAUGUCAUUGAUGUUUUAUCAAUCUCUAUACAGUCUCUGCUUUCCACUGUGCCUAAACCUCAGUAGUCAUUCAAUGGAUGUGCGCUGCAUUGAGUUUCUAGGCAAUAUAAGGGAGACAACGACUGGCAAAGCAUGGUCAAGAUGCACGAGUAUGAGGACGUGUUAGACAUGACUGUGACCACCAAUGCUGGUGCACUUCUUGCAAGCUUACCAAGGGCUCUUCACCUGCUUCUCAUUUGUAACAAUCGGAAAGUAGAGACGGGAUUUCACCAUGUUGGCCAGACUGGUCUCGAACUCCUAACUUCAAGUGAUCCGCCCACCUCGGCCUCCCAGAGUGCUGGAAUUACAGGCAUGAGUCACCGCACCCAGCCCAAGUCAUCGUUUAGAAAUACUUAUUGAGUGCCUAAGAUGGGCUAGUUCCCUGGCUGAAGCUUCUGUACCUAGUAGGGGCUUAGGAAAUAUGAGAACCCAAAGUUCUGAAGAAACUGGAAUUACCUCCCAGAAGACAAAUGGGAGGCUCCAGGCUCCAGCCGAGGACUGAGAAAACUGCCUGUGUCAUGCAGCUGACGUGUUGAGCUGGCAUGCCACUGCUGCUGCUGUGUGCCUUAUGCAAGUUUCUGGGUGGUCUGCCAGACUCUCUGGAAUCAACAACAAUGCAGGGACCCCCUUCGUAGCUCUUCUGCUUGCCCAGUCUAAUGGCCCUGGCAUUCUAAGUCUGCCCUUUUCCAUACAUUCUUUCCUCCUUUCUGUGCCAGGAUUUCAGUAGAUGAUUUAGAGCGAGCUCCGGGCCAUUUAGCUCAGUCAGAGAUUUGGGUGGAAGUUUCCUCCCAUCCAUCCCAGGCCUCAGAUAGCCCAUGAGGCUAUGACCAGCUCCUGUGAAGGAAGGGGAAGAACAGCUCGUGGAGAUUUUCAGGCACAGAGUAGGAGAAGUUUCCUCAGCUGCUGCAUUUGCCCACUCUAAUCUGGCUGUACACGGCUUGUCAAUAAUAGAUUGGAUGGAAAAUUUAGGACAAAAAAACUCAGGAAGACGUAACUUGCCUACGCAGAGACUGCAAAGGCCCCUGGAGGGUCGCUGGCAGGCUGGAUGAUACAUCGCUGCAAAGAGGGCAGGCGCUGUUUUCUGAAGGGUUUUCUGCCUUGUUCUCUGCCUGUACUUGAGGAAAUGACUGAUCUUCUCCAUUCUGUGGUGUAUUUCGCCCAGAUGAUUUCCAUACUGCUUACUCAUCACCUGGUCAUUUGAGCUGCUGUACGACCAGCCAGCACCUUCAUACAUUCCAAUACCAAGGAUCUGAAACAUGUGGAUUAGAUUUCCCUCAAAACACACAUAAGCUGAAAAGCUAGGGCAGCAAGAGCAAAGCAAGAACACAUCUUACGUUUGGUUAGCUCCACAAAUGCCUCUGCAUUCUCCCAUCCCCAGCUUGAAUAAAUCAGAUAAGCUUCAGCAAAAGCAUCUGAACUUUUUGGAUUCUUUUCUAAAACAAGCCUUUGAACCUGAAGAACUUUGCCUAUCUCUGCGUGUUCCCUCCUCAAAUGUUCAGCUGGGGCUGCCCACUGCACAGCUCAAGCUGGUGAAAUUUAACUCUUUCAUCCACAGAUUAAUUUCCAACCCGUCUGAAGUGACAGUAAACUCAUUAGGCUCAUUUUAAAGAAGACUUGCUAUGAAUGUACCAGCUUAUGCCUGUCUCCACAGACGAAGGACUCCUUCAGGGAACAUAUUAAACUGAGACUAGUGAGAGGUGAUGCCAUUAAAGCAUUGUCAGUUCAGCAGUUUUAGGGUACCAGAGCUGUAGCUGCUUGUCCUUAGCAGGAUUUCAAGAGAAAGCCUUGCCUCCCUCCUCCAGAUCCCCUGUUACCUCCACCCCCUACCAUGGAUGCAUCUUUAAUUGCAGUUCCUUGAGGAAUGCCUUUGGCUUUAUUUAUUACAAGCUGUUAGAAAAUUAUUGGAACACAAAUACUUAUUGCAGUGAACAGAUUUCAGUUGCAAAUGGAUUCAACACAAUUCCUGUGCCGAAGCCCCUGAGGGAACAGGAAUGGAGAUCUCUGGGCUGUGAAAUGAAGCUUGGUCAAGGAUGCUUCCUUCAGAGACUCUGCUCUGAAAACCCAGGAGAGCCAAAAAGUGGAAGGCUAGCAUUUAAAUGAACUCUAAAGAGCAUCUAACCAACCCCUUUGUCUUACAGAGGAAGAAAUCGAGGUUCAGUGGAACCAGCAAGGCUGAGGCUACAAUAGCCAGCCAGCAAUAGGCCUCUGCAACUUCCCAGCCAGGCUUUAUAGCUCUCUUCUAUGCUGUCUUUUAUACCCAGAGAAAGUGAGAUUAAAUAAAGCCAAAAAACUGAUCCUAAGUCCUGGCCUGGAUCCAUGUAUCCUGGCUUUUCAUUAUAGCUUGUCAAUACCUGUCCAUAGAUUGAGUCCAUAGAAAGAUGCUCACCCCACGCCAGAAGAUAGACAAGAAACCUGGAAUCCUUCUGAAACAUUGACUGGAAAUCUUACUCAACGUUAAGAGAUCUUAGUGUAUGUUUACAUGGUAAUACUUCUAGACUGGACAGGCAAUGCUUAAAGAGAAAUCUAUACUCCUUUCCUACUUUAAAUUUCAUUCUCAUUAGCUUUUUUGAUUUUCUUCCUGGUUACUCUCAGCUGCUAUGGAUCCUUAUCAUUGGGAAGUGCAGUUAGUCCACCAUGGAGUUCUCAAAUGAAGUAACUGAUAGCGCAUGAGAAUAUUAGGGCUAGAAGAAAACUUAAUGAUACUCUGGGCCAUAUUCUUCAGUUUACAGUUGAGUACAGUGGGUCUGAGAGAGGUUAAGUGACUUCAGGCAGGGUCACUGGGUACACUACGGACCUCAAAACAUUGAAUUGCCCCACCACGUGAAAGGAGGUUCCUUCAUCUGACAAUGACAAACCACUUCCCUUUGUAAUACUUAGGUGUCUUUUAUGAAUUAUUAAUGGAUUGUCCCCAGUUUUACAGAGCCGAAUGUGUAUUGCAGCCUACUCCUAAGAAAUCCACUGACAUCUGCAUGAGGUAUGGAUCAUGAGUUAUCCUCUGCAUCUCUUGUUUCACAGAAAGACCAGUAAACAGAAGUCAGGGGAAUUUUCCAAGAUGACAUGAUGAGUCAGCAAAGGCUCUGGGGCAACAAGCUGUUACUGGAUGAGGAAUCAGAAGAUACAAAUUCCAGUCUCCACACUGUCUCUAAUCAUGUGGGAGAUCUUGGGCAAGCCACUUCUGUCUCAGGGUCGCAGUUUCUUCACCCGUAGAAGGGGCUUUAGGAUGGCCUCUAAGAACCUUUCAGCUUGCUGUGGCCUAUGGAUCUAGAACACAAGGUUCAGAGCUAUUUCACGUGUAAACUAUGAUUGUGCAAAGCCACAAUGAUACACCCUCAGAAUUCUUAAACUUUAAAGGUUAAAUGGGUUUUGCCUCCAAAAUUGGAAGUGUUUUGGCAAUCUGUAUGCAAAUAAUAAUAGUAGUAACAAUACUUUUUUUUCUUAAAUUUUUUUCAAGCUCUUGGUGAUUGCAGUACUUGUCUGCUUGCAAGGGCAAUCAUAUAACACAACAAACUAAUAACAGACAAUG